CAGUGAAUAAUUAAACGGCCGCGGUACCCUAACCGUGCAAAGGUAGCGUAAUCAUUUGUCUAUUAAUUGUAGACCCGUAUGAAAGGCAUAAUGAGGGUUUAACUGUCUCUUUUAGUAAAUCAAUUAAACUGAUCUCCUAGUCCAAAAGCUAGGAUACCAACAUAAGACCAGAAGACCCUGUGAAACUUUAACUAAAAUAUUAAAGCCUAUAAUAACUACUUUAGGUUGGGGCGACCUUGGAAAAUAAAAGAACUUCCACACACAUAUUAUAUAAUAAUAUAUAACCGGCCAACAAGCCUACAACGACCCAGCACAGCUGACAAUUGAACCAAGCUACUCCAGGGAUAACAGCGCUAUCUUCUUCAAGAGCCCAUAUCAAAAAGAAGGUUUACGACCUCGAUGUUGGAUCAGGACAUCCUGAUGGUGCAACCGCUAUUAAGGGUUCGUUUGUUCAACGAUUAACA
rnacentral:rRNA from 1 species